ACUGAAGCAGCUGCAUUAACACCAACAAUCGGUUUCCCUUUAAGUUCUUAACAGAGUUGUGAUAAAGAACAUCUGAACCAACAUAAUCAGAAACGUGUAUGUGUGCGAAGAACAGCGGUGGAACACGCGACGAGUGCAUGACUACAGAAAACUACAGAAAACAAAUGUACGGUUUGAGCAAAAACGCAUGCUCACUUCAACUUACCUUUCUUGGAGCCUGUCGGUGACGGCGCUGCAACUGACAGCAAAGUCCUCGCGCAAUGUCGCAUUCACUCGACAUGCUGCAGGGCUCCGAAUACUGUUUAUCCUGCUGCACCGGCGGUCGGCAAACACGCGUAGAGAUUCCUUGCUCAGCUUCGGCACAGACGAGUCCUGAUUCACAGUCGCUGUCACGUCGGCAAAGUUCACCCACGCGUCUUCCAUAAGUGAACAUGCAUUGACCAAUUACUAUGGAACAUGAAAGAAAAUUGUUUCUGUAUUUUCUGAUUUUCCAAGUCAAAAAGCUGCUUGUGUUACAUUUUUAUGUAUAAAUGUAUUUUACUUUUAAUUAGCAUAAACACAAAGUGGAUCGAUAAAUUCGCAAAAUAUAUCGCGUGAUUUCUAAAUUCAGCGCGCCACAAGCACCACAGGUACGCCACAGCACGAAUUUACUUUCAAUAUAUUUUUUCAACUCUCUUUAACUCACAAGUAAAUAAAAUAACGUGUAAAAUUGUUUUACGAAACGUUUUCAGACUUUCUGCUUAUCGAUUGAUCAAACGAAUUGAAAUGUGAAAAGGUUAAAUAAAUUAUUAAACACG